rnacentral:rRNA from 1 species
GACGAACGCUGGCGGCGUGCUUAACACAUGCGAGUCGAACGGAAAGGCCUGCUUUCCCUUGUGGAUUGCGGGUACUCGAGUGGCGAACGGGUGAGUAACACGUGAGUGAUCUGCCCCCAACUUGGGUAUAAGCCUGGGAAACUGGGUCUAAUUCCCGAUAGGACUGCAGGGUGGUGCCUGUGGUGGAAAACGAUUUUCUAGUGGUUGGGGAUGAGCUCGCGGCCUAUCAGCUUGUUGGUGGGGUAAUGGCCUACCAAGGCGGCGAUGGGUAGCCGGCCUGAGAGGGUGGACGGCCACAUUGGGACUGAGAUACGGCCCAGACUCCUACGGGAGGCAGCAGUGGGGAAUAUUGCACAAUGGGCGGAAGCCUGAUGCAGCGACGCCGCGUGGGGGAUGACGGCCUUCGGGUUGUAAACUCCUUUCGACCGCGAGGAAGCCACCUGGUUGGAAGGGUGGUGACGGUAGUGGUAGAAGAAGCACCGGCUAACUACGUG